GGAUCGCCAUGGACGUGCCUCCUGCAGC
rnacentral:sRNA from 1 species